UUAUACAGCGAAACUGCGAAUGGCUCAUUAUAUAAGUUAUCGUUUAUUUGAUAGUACCUUACUACUUGGAUAACCGUGGUAAUUCUAGAGCUAAUACAUGCUAAAAAUCCCGACUUCGGAAGGGAUGUAUUUAUUAGAUUAAAAACCAAUGCCCUUCGGGGCUCUCUGGUGAUUCAUGAUAACUUCUCGAAUCGCAUGGCCUUGCGCCGGCGAUGGUUCAUUCAAAUUUCUUCCCUAUCAACUUUCGAUGUUUGGGUAUUGGCCAAACAUGGUUGCAACGGGUAACGGAGGGUUAGGGCUCGACCCCGGAGAAGGAGCCUGAGAAACGGCUACUACAUCCAAGGAAGGCAGCAGGCGCGCAAAUUACCCAAUCCCGACUCGGGGAGGUAGUGACAAUAAAUACUGAUACAGGGCUCUUUUGGGUCUUGUAAUUGGAAUGAGUACAAUUUAAAUCCCUUAACGAGGAACAAUUGGAGGGCAAGUCUGGUGCCAGCAGCCGCGGUAAUUCCAGCUCCAAUAGCGUAUAUUAAAGUUGUUGUGGUUAAAAAGCUCGUAGUUGAACCUUGGGCCUGGCUGGCCGGUCCGCCUCACCGCGUGUACUGGUCCGGCCGGGCCUUUCCCUCUGUGGAACCCCAUGCCCUUCACUGGGUGUGGCGGGGAAACAGGACUUUUACUUUGAAAAAAUUAGAGUGCUCCAGGCAGGCCUAUGCUCGAAUACAUUAGCAUGGAAUAAUAGAAUAGGACGUGUGGUUCUAUUUUGUUGGUUUCUAGGACCGCCGUAAUGAUUAAUAGGGACAGUCGGGGGCAUCAGUAUUCAAUUGUCAGAGG
rnacentral:rRNA from 1 species